rnacentral:lncRNA from 1 species
GAACCAAGGCAACUUUACCCACUAGAGAUAACCUAGAAAAUUUCUAUCUUUAGUUCAACUGAACUCUCAGUGUUAUUUCAUAGAAACCACCCCAGUCUAUUUAUAUUAUUCAACACAUAAUUUUGGUUAGAGAAUUUUUUUUUUUUUAAAUUAGGGAUGGGGGUCUUGCUGUGCUGCUCAGGCUGGUCUCAAACUCCUGGGCUAAGUGAUUCCCUGACUGUACCUGGCCAAGAGAAGUUUUUGUGCUGUGGCUUACCUUAGCAUAUUUCUCUGCUUCUUCUCUUAUAUCUUUUGGAACAAUUUCAUGUCUUCCAUUAGUUACUGUAAAUUAAGCCACAUGUGUAAAUGAAUUUUAAAUUGAGUACCAUAUUGUAACUUGCAGUAUACCAUAGGAUCUACCCAAUCCACAUAUCUGACUCACCUAAGGUUGCAAAGUUGUACUAUGAGUAAUACUCGAAUAUUUUUGUGUGCUGCUUCUACAUGAGAUUAUAUGUGCCUACAUAUUAAGUUCUUAUGGAAAUGAAAGUAAAUUAUGCUAUUUAUAAAUCCUGAGCAUUAAUUUAUAGCAUAGUAUCUUAAAACCAUGAAAUGGAUGUUUCAAAAAAUAACGUGUUCACAACUUAAGUCAAUUAUUAAGCAGAACUUUCCCUUCAUUAGACAACCUAGUAAAUUUGCUUUAGCUUUCAUUAUAUUAGAAAGGACACUCAGUUGUAAAUUAGCUGUGGUACAGAUCAUUCCUAAGGCAAAUAAAUGUACAAAAAUAACUUACAUUCACCAACCCAGCUGAGUUCUAGUUCAAAAGCUUUAUCCUUAACUUCGUCAUGUACUAUGUAAAUUCUAGAAUAGAAAAGGGAAAGGUAAGAUUUUGGUAACCUCCAAACAUUGAAGUAGUUCACAGACCCAAAGUCAGUACAAAUUAGAAUGUCCAUCCAUAAUAAAAGUAUCUAUAAAAUUACACAGACACAUUCUACAUAGUAUUUAACAUUAGAGAAGACAAAUUACACAGGGACUGAAAUAAAAUGAAACAUCUACUCUCCCGACAAAUGUUGAAUAUACCUAAUCAACCCAAGUUCAGUUUAUUUUUGCACAUUGCUUUAGAGAUAUAACUUGGCUGGGCACAGUGGCUCACACCUGUAAUCCCAACACUUUGGGAGACCAAGGCGGAUGGAUCACUUGAGGUCAGUUCGAGACUAGCCUGGCCAACAUGGUGAAACCCUGUCUCUACUAAGAAACAAAAAUCAGCCAGGUGUGGUGGUGGGCGCCUGUAAUCUCAGCUACUCAGGAGGCUAAGGCAGGAGAAUUCCUUGAACCCGGGAGGCAGGGGUUGCAGUGAGCCAAGAUCACACUACUGCACUCCAUCCUGGGCUACAGUAGAGCGAGACUCCAUCUCAGAAAAAAAAAAAGAUACAACUAUAAAAGAUACCUCAUAAAGAACACGGAUUCACUAGGAAGAGGCGUCAUUAACUGUGCCCUUUUAGAAUAUUUUGUCCAUUAACUUAAAUAUAUUUAAAACCAACUAAUUGGCUGGACAUGGUGGCUCGUGCCUGUAAUCCUAGCACUUUGGGGAGGCAGAGGCGGGUGGAUCAUGAGGUCAGGAGUUCGAGACCAUCCUGGCCAACAUGGUGAACCCACGUCUCUACUAAAAAUACAAAAAUUAGCCAGGUGAGGUGGCCAUAGGCCUGUAGUCCCAACUACUCGGGAAACUGAGGCAGGAGACUUGCUUGAACCCAGGAGGUAGGGGCUGCAGUGAGCUGAGAUCACGACACUGCACUCCAGCCUGGGCAACAGAGUGAGACUCUGUUUCAAAAAAAUAAAAAAAAAAAAACUAAUUUAUGUGCUUGCAAUUAUUAGUGGUCUCUUCAACCUAUAGCUUCUUGGCAGUAGUCUUUUUAAGCUCCUUGUCCAUUUUAUAAUGGCAUAUAUGCCACAUAACCUGGCCUUCACAUUGUAGUACCUUACAAAUUACAGCAAAGAAGGAGGCACUGUCAUGCAACAUAUUAAAGUAACAUAAAAAGUAUCAAGAGGCCAGGUGCGGUGGUUCACAUCUGUAAUCCCAGCACUUUGGGAGGCCAAGGUGGGUGGAUCACAAGGUCAGGAGUUCAAGACCAGCCUGGCCAAGAUGGUAAAGCCUGUCUCUACUAAAAAUACAAAAAUUAGCCAGGUGUGGUGGUGGGCGCCUGUAAUCCCAGCUACUUGAGAGGCUGAUGCAGGAGAAUUGCUUGAACACGGGAGGCGGAGGUUGCAGUGAGCCAAGAUCGUGCCACUGCCCUCCAGUCUGGACGACAGAGUGAGACUCCAUCUCAAAAAAAAAAAAGUAUCAAAUUAAGUACAGUAGCAGAGUAUAGCUUUAUCUAAUACUAUGCACUGAGUUACAUACCUUACUUUUUGGAGGGUCUUCUAAAACCUUGCUAUAAUAUGAGAGGAUCUUGAUUUUCUACAACUAAGUAAAAGAUAACAUGCUGCUCCAUUUUCUUAAAUGAUGAAGGGAUGGCUUUCCUAACAUGGAACACUUAACAGAUGACUACCAUUAUACCUAAAUAUAAAAGAUGAUAUAAAACCAAGGAAAAUAACCUAAAGUCUGAAAAAGACCAGAAUCGAAGUUUCCUGAUUCAUAUUUUAAUGUUUUGAAAUUUAUACUCCAGGCUGGGUGCAGUGGCUUGUGCCUGUAAUCCCAGCACUUUGGGAGGCCGAGGCGGCCGGAUUGCCUGAAGUCAGAAGUUCGAGACCAGCCUGACCAACAUGGUGAAACCCUGUCUCUACUUAAAAAUACAAAAGAGCUGGGCAUGGAGGUGGUGCGCGCCUGUAACCCUAGCUACUCGGGAGGCUGAGGCCUAAGAAUCUCUUGAACCCAGGAGGCAGAGGUUGUAGUGAGCCGGGAUCACGCCACUGCACUCUAGCCUGGGCGACAGAGAGAGAGACUGUCUAAAAAAGGAAAAGAAAAAAAUUUAUACGCCAAAAAAGAUAUUCUGAGAUAACCUGUAGUUACCACUAACUUUGUGACAAAAUUAUAAAAAUCCACAGCCAUCUAUGAAUCUGUAGGCAGACCUGAAGUUUGAACGACUGGUGAAGACAUCUGAUUUUCUUUAUAGCCAAGUUAGGAUAACAAAAUGCAAACAAGUCAUUAAUAUUUACUAUAUGCAAGAUACAGAAAGAUGAAGGAAGGAGUAAGAAGUUAUCCUUCGUGGAACUAUUCAAAGCAAAAAUGCAAAAUACCAGGGAAAGCUUUGAAGAACCAAGAUUUGAGCAGGUUCUUAGAAUAUAGAUUGGAUUGGAUUUGAUUUCAAGAAAGAUGAACGUGUAAAGCAGAAGUGGGAAGCCAAAAACUUUUUUCCAAAUUAGAAUUAAGCAUUCUUUCAAUGAACAUUUGGAAAUCAAGGUAGAAAAAUAUCCCUAGGGCCUAGCUGAGGAGUCUGUAUGUUGUUGGGUUUUGAUAGUAACCAGUCCAAGAUUUUGUUAUUAGACGUGGGUUUCUGAAUAGACAGGCAUUUCUGAACAGACAUGACAGGAUCAAAACAAUGUUUGAGCAAACUGCCCUUCAUCUACUGUGGAUAUGUUGGGGGAUGAUGGAAUAUAGUGAAAGAUAAUGGGUGCUCAUACAGCAGUCUAGACUUAAGGUGAUUCAACUACUAUAUAUUAAACUAGAUUAUCUUUUAUUUUUUAAUUUUGAAAUCUGGAUGCUCAAGCUCUGCCUGCACAACCACAUGAGGAAGAAGGAACAAUGACAACAAAAAUAACACUAAAUUUAAAUUUAAGAGUACUACUUUUAGGAAAUAGACAAACCAUUAUUUGGGUACAACUAAAGGCAACUGGCAUGGACUCAAAUAUUUUGGGGAAGAAAAAGACUAAAAGUUCUAAGGAAGAAAAUGCGAACCUUGAUAGUUUGAAAUAGUUAAAAAGACAGUGUAGAAACUGCUUAGGCAGUUUGAUUAUGGACUAUUAGAUGAUACUUGGGUCUGAUAAUGGUAUAAGGAGAAUAAAGUAUUUAGGGAUCCA